rnacentral:rRNA from 1 species
AUUGAACGCUGGCGGCAGGCUUAACACAUGCAAGUCGAGCGAGCGGCGGACGGGUGAGUAAUGUCUGGGAAACUGCCUGAUGGAGGGGGAUAACUACUGGAAACAGUAGCUAAUACCGCAUACCAUCAAAUGUGCCCAGAUGGGAUUAGGUAGUAGGUGGGGUAAUGGCUCACCUAGGGGACGAUCCCUAGCUGGUCUGGGAGGAUGACCAGCAGCACUGGAACUGGGAAACGGGCCAGAUUCCUAGUGAGGCAGCAGUGGGGCAUAUUGCACAAUUGGCGCGAGCCUGAUGCAGCCAUGCCGCGUGUGUGAAGAAGGCCUUCGGGUUGUAAAGCACGUUCAGCGAGGAGGCGUUACUCGCAGAAGAAGCACCGGCUAACUCCGUGCCAGCCGCCGCGGUAAUUC